UUGAAUUUCCUUGCCUGGAAUUUCCCUGCCCUGCCUUGCCAUGCCUCGAAUUGCCUUGCCUCGCCCUGCCCUGCCCUGACCUGACCUGCCCUGCCCAGGAUGAGCAGCGGUGAAGGAUGCUCCUGGGGUCCCUGGCUGGGAAAGGCCAGAAUUCUAAAGUCGGUUCCACUGACUCAAGGUGGGAGCAGGGCAGGUACCUUCCCAGGCUCUGAAGGAGAAUGAGUUUCUGGCCCUGGAGGCUUCCUGGAAUCCUCAGCUUGUGCUGCCCUUCUUGAAUGACUGGAGGUACCUGCUUCCAUCACUACACUUCCCAUCGCUCUCCAUCACCUGCUCUGCUCUGGUAAGGAUCUGGGUGAGUACAUCAACCCCACUGUGAUAAGCCAGAAUAAUCUUCCUGGCCAGAAGUCCUUAACUUCAUUAUAUCUGCAAAGCCCCUUUUACCGUAUGAGGUCAUGUUCACCGGUUCCUGGGAUUAGGUUAUGAGCAUCUUGGGGGGUCACUAUCAGCCUAUUACAGGUAUGCUGCAAAACUAUUACCCCUUCCUGGUGUUUCAGUGAUUGGGAGGAAAAGGGUUGGGAUUUUUGCUUUGGGGUUUUCUUUUUUGACAUGGAGUCUUGCUCUUUUGCACAGGCUGGCUGCAGUCUUCGUUCCCUGCAACAUUUGUCUCCUGGGUUCAAGUGAUUCUUCUACCUCAACCUCCUGAGUACCUGGGACUACAGGUGCCUGCCACCAUGUCUGAGAAAUGCAAUGAUUGUAUCACUGAUCUAUGUAAACACAUUGAACAACUAUCUGAAAGAAAAUAUGGUAUGUCUAAACUAGAAAAGUCCUGUAAUACUUUGUUCAUGAGUGUUUAUACAAUGGAGUCACUGUUCAUCUUGUAGUGUCUGUCUAAAUAUUAGAAACUUUCUUUCUUUCUAGAUUACUGUAAAGCUAAGGAAAAGUUGUAUUUCUUAAAUUAUCAGCAUUUCUUUUAAACUUUCAGCAUGAAUAUUGGCAAUUUAUGUACAUAUUUAUUGCAAAGCCCUGGAUCUUAGGGAUUUAAUUAAUUUUUUAAAACUAAUGAUUUCUCUUUAUCUGCUUUGCUAAAUUUGGUAUUUGGUUGGGCAUGGUGGCUCAUGCCUGUAAUACCAGCACUUUGGGAGGCCAAGGCAGGCAGAUCAUGAGGUCAGCUUGGCCAAGUCUCUUAUUCUGUCUGAGCCUUAGUAUGCUCUUUAGUGGUCAUGAGAACUGAAGAUCUAUCUCGAAGAUUUGAUAGCAUGCUACACUGCUUCACAUAAUACUGGGUAUAUAAAUACAUAAUAAAUGCAUCUUGCUUAUGUUUUAAUUUCCUUAUUUAUUUAUUUUUUGAGGCAGAAUCUUGCUCUGUUGCACAGACUGAAGUGCAGUGGCAUGAGAUCUCGG
rnacentral:lncRNA from 1 species